rnacentral:rRNA from 1 species
CAACAGCUGGAAACGGCUGCUAAUAGCCGAUGUGCCGAGAGGUGAAACUAUUUGGCCUGAGGAUGAGCUCGCGUCUGAUUAGCCAGUUGGAGUGGUAACGAGACACCAAGGCGACGAUCAGUAGCUGGUCUGAGAGGAUGAUCAGCCACACUGGGACUGAGACACGGCCCAGACUCCUACGGGAGGCAGCAGUGGGGAAUUUUCCGCAAUGGGCGAAAGCCUGACGGAGCAAGACCGCGUGCGGGAGGAAGGUCUAUUGAUUGUAAACCGCUUUUGAUAGGGAAGAAGAUCUGACGGUACCUAUCGAAUCAGCAUCGGCUAACUCCGUGCCAGCAGCCGCGGUAAUACGGGGGAUG